GACGAAGGGGGCAAGCGUUACACGGACUUACUGGGCGUAAAGCGUGCGUAGGUGGUUCGUUAAGUCUGAUGUGAAAGCCCUGGGCUCAACCUGGGAAUUGCAUUGGAUACUGGCGGGCUGGAGGGGGGGAGAGGAUGGCGGAAUUUCCGGUGUAGCAGUGAAAUGCGUAGAGAUCGGGAGGAACAUCUAUGGCGAAGGCGGCCAGCUGGACCAGCGCUGACACUGAGGCACGAAAGCGUGGGGAGCAAACAGG
rnacentral:rRNA from 1 species